AGGGGAGUGAAAAAGAACCUGAAACCGUGUACGUACAAGCAGUGGGAGCACGCUUAGGCGUGUGACUGCGUACCUUUUGUAUAAUGGGUCAGCGACUUAUAUUCUGUAGCAAGGUUAACCGAAUAGGGGAGCCGAAGGGAAACCGAGUCUUAACUGGGCGUUAAGUUGCAGGGUAUAGACCCGAAACCCGGUGAUCUAGCCAUGGGCAGGUUGAAGGUUGGGUAACACUAACUGGAGGACCGAACCGACUAAUGUUGAAAAAUUAGCGGAUGACUUGUGGCUGGGGGUGAAAGGCCAAUCAAACCGGGAGAUAGCUGGUUCUCCCCGAAAGCUAUUUAGGUAGCGCCUCGUGAAUUCAUCUCCGGGGGUAGAGCACUGUUUCGGCAAGGGGGUCAUCCCGACUUACCAACCCGAUGCAAACUGCGAAUACCGGAGAAUGUUAUCACGGGAGACACACGGCGGGUGCUAACGUCCGUCGUGAAGAGGGAAACAACCCAGACCGCCAGCUAAGGUCCCAAAGUCAUGGUUAAGUGGGAAACGAUGUGGGAAGGCCCAGACAGCCAGGAUGUUGGCUUAGAAGCAGCCAUCAUUUAAAGAAAGCGUAAUAGCUCACUGGUCGAGUCGGCCUGCGCGGAAGAUGUAACGGGGCUAAACCAUGCACCGAAGCUGCGGCAGCGACGCUGAUGCGUUGUUGGGUAGGGGAGCGUUCUGUAAGCCUGUGAAGGUGUGCUGUGAGGCAUGCUGGAGGUAUCAGAAGUGCGAAUGCUGACAUAAGUAACGAUAAAGCGGGUGAAAAGCCCGCUCGCCGGAAGACCAAGGGUUCCUGUCCAACGUUAAUCGGGGCAGGGUGAGUCGACCCCUAAGGCGAGGCCGAAAGGCGUAGUCGAUGGGAAACAGGUUAAUAUUCCUGUACUUGGUGUUACUGCGAAGGGGGGACGGAGAAGGCUAUGUUGGCCGGGCGACGGUUGUCCCGGUUUAAGCGUGUAGGCUGGUUUUCCAGGCAAAUCCGGAAAAUCAAGGCUGAGGCGUGAUGACGAGGCACUACGGUGCUGAAGCAACAAAUGCCCUGCUUCCAGGAAAAGCCUCUAAGCAUCAGGUAACAUCAAAUCGUACCCCAAACCGACACAGGUGGUCAGGUAGAGAAUACCAAGGCGCUUGAGAGAACUCGGGUGAAGGAACUAGGCAAAAUGGUGCCGUAACUUCGGGAGAAGGCACGCUGAUAUGUAGGUGAAGUCCCUCGCGGAUGGAGCUGAAAUCAGUCGAAGAUACCAGCUGGCUGCAACUGUUUAUUAAAAACACAGCACUGUGCAAACACGAAAGUGGACGUAUACGGUGUGACGCCUGCCCGGUGC
rnacentral:rRNA from 1 species